GAGAGAUUGGGCACCACAAUUGGAAAUUUUAGGUCACCCGUCUACGGGUGGAUUCAUGAGUCAUUGCGGGUGGAAUUCUUGUAUGGAGAGUAUUACAAUGGGAGUUCCAAUCGCGGCAUGGCCAAUGCAUUCUGAUCAGCCUAGAAAUGCGUUGUUCAUAACUGAAGGACUGAAAACGGGGAUAUGGGUGAGAAAAUGGGAGCAACGAAACGAAGUGAUCCCAGCAGAGACUGUUGAGAAAGUUGUACGAACGUUAAUCGCCUCUCCGGAGGGAGCGGAGAUGAAACGAAAUGCUACAGCGAUCAAGGAAGCAGUGAAAUUAUCGGUAAUGGAGGGUGGGGUAACGCAGCAGGAAAUGAAAUCUUUUGUUGCCCACAUUACUAGAUAGAUUUUUUUUCCCGUUUAAUAUUGGUGAUGUUCGUGCUAGUUUAUGCGCACUUUAACCUUUGAUCCUGUGUCGAAAU
rnacentral:misc_RNA from 1 species